rnacentral:rRNA from 1 species
AGCCUUAGGAAAUGAUAUAAGGUGACGCCUGCUCAAUGAGAAACACUUUAAUAGCCGCGGUACCUUGACCGUGCUAAGGUAGCAUAAUCAGUUGACUUUUAAUUGAAGUCUGGAAUGAAUGGAAUAACGGGAUUAAGCUGUCUCUACCUUUUUAUUAUAAAUUUACUAACCAGGUGAAAAGGCCUGGGAAAGAAAAAAGACGAGAAGACCCUUAGAGUUUAUAAGAAAUUUUGUUGGGGCGACAGGGAAUCUGAACAUUCCUUUUUAAUAUGGGACGGAUUUUUCAUGAAAAGAAAAACUACCUGAGGGAUAACAGCAUUAUCUUUUUUAGGUUUGUGACCUCGAUGUUGGACUAGGAAGCCCAUAGGCUAGCCGCUUAUGCGGGAGGUUCUGUUCGAACUAUUACUCCU